rnacentral:rRNA from 1 species
GCCAGUGGUGAACUCCACAUACGCAUCCUUUGCUGAGGAUACGGUUAACGGAGCGAAAGCGACGUUCAACCGCAAAAGAAGCAGAGGGGGCUUAGUGGUGGGGUGACUGCGUACCUUUUGUAUAAUGGGUCAGCGACUUAUAUUCUGUAGCAAGGUUAACCGUAUAGGGGAGCCGGAGGGAAACCGAGUCUUAAUUGGGCGUUAAGUUGCAGGGUAUAGACCCGAAACCCGGUGAUCUAGCCAUGGGCAGGUUGAAGGUUGGGUAACACUAACUGGAGGACCGAACCGACUAAUGUUGAAAAAUUAGCGGAUGACCUGUGGCUGGGGGUGAAAGGCCAAUCAAACCGGGAGAUAGCUGGUUCUCCCCGAAAGCUAUUUAGGUAGCGCCUCGUGAAUUCAUCUCCGGGGGUAGAGCACUGUUUCGGCUAGGGGGCCAUCCCGGCUUACCAACCCGAUGCAAACUGCGAAUACCGGAGAAUGUUAUCACGGGAGACACACGGCGGGUGCUAACGUCCGUCGUGAAGAGGGAAACAACCCAGACCGCCAGCUAAGGUCCCAAAGUCAUGGUUAAGUGGGAAACGAUGUGGGAAGGCCCAGACAGCCAGGAUGUUGGCUUAGAAGCAGCCAUCAUUUAAAGAAAGCGUAAUAGCUCACUGGUCGAGUCGGCCUGCGCGGAAGAUGUAACGGGGCUAAACCAUGCACCGAAGCUGCGGCAGCGACGCUGAUGCGUUGUUGGGUAGGGGAGCGUUCUGUAAGCCUGCGAAGGUGGCCUGUGAGGGUUGCUGGAGGUAUCAGAAGUGCGAAUGCUGACAUAAGUAACGAUAAAGCGGGUGAAAAGCCCGCUCGCCGGAAGACCAAGGGUUCCUGUCCAACGUUAAUCGGGGCAGGGUGAGUCGACCCCUAAGGCGAGGCCGAAAGGCGUAGUCGAUGGGAAACGGGUUAAUAUUCCCGUACUUGGUGUUACUGCGAAGGGGGGACGGAGAAGGCUAUGUUGGCCGGGCGACGGUUGUCCCGGUUUAAGCGUGUAGGUGUGUGUUCCAGGUAAAUCCGGUU